AUUGAACGCUGGCGGCAGGCUUAACACAUGCAAGUCGAGCGAGCGGCGGACGGGUGAGUAAUGUAUGGGAAACUGCCUGAUGGAGGGGGAUAACUACUGGAAACGGUAGCUAAUACCGCAUACCAUCAGAUGUGCCCAGAUGGGAUUAGCUAGUAGGUGGGGUAAUGGCUCACCUAGGGAACGAUCCCUAGCUGGUCUGAGAGGAUGACCAGCCACACUGGGACUGAGACACGGUCCAUACUCCUACGGAAGGCAGCAGUGGGGAAUUUUGCACAAUGGGCGCAAGCCUGAUGCAGCCAUGCCGCGUGUGUGAAGAAGGCCUGCGGGUUGUAAAGUACUUUUAGCGAGGAAGCGUUACUCGCAGAAGAAGCACCGGCUAACUCCGUGCCAGCAGCCGCGGUAAUUC
rnacentral:rRNA from 1 species